GACGGAGGAUGCAAGUGUUAUCCGGAAUCACUGGGCGUAAAGCGUCUGUAGGUGGUCAAAUAAGUCAACUGUUAAAUCUUGAGGCUCAACCUCAAAACCGCAGUCGAAACUAUUAGACUAGAGUAUAGUAGGGGUAAAGGGAAUUUCCAGUGGAGCGGUGAAAUGCGUAGAGAUUGGAAAGAACACCGAUGGCGAAGGCGGCUCACUGGCCCGGUACUGACGCUGAGGUGCGAAAGCGUGGGGAGCAAACAGG
rnacentral:rRNA from 1 species